rnacentral:rRNA from 1 species
UACGGAGGCCCCAAGCGUUGUUCGGAUUUAUUGGGCGUAAAGGGUGCGUAGGCGGCAUGGUAAGUCUGGUGUGAAAGGCGUGGGCUCAACCCACGGACUGCAUUGGAUACUGCCAUGCUAGAGGACUGGAGAGGAGAAUGGAAUUCACGGUGGAGCAGUGAAAUGCGUAGAUAUCGUGAGGAAGGCCAGUGGCGAAGGCGAUUCUCUGGACAGUAUCUGACGCUGAGGCACGAAGGCUGGGGGAGCGAACAGG